rnacentral:rRNA from 1 species
UACGUAGGGUGCGAGCGUUGUUCGGAUUUACUGGGCGUAAAGGGCGCGUAGGCGGUCGUGACAAGUCACUUGUGAAAUCUCCGGGCUUAACUCGGAACGGUCAAGUGAUACUGUCGGACUAGAGUACAGAAGGGGCAACUGGAAUUCUCGGUGUAGCGGUGAAAUGCGUAGAUAUCGAGAGGAACACCUGCGGCGAAGGCGGGUUGCUGGGCUGAUAACUGACGCUGGAGGCGCGGAAAGCCAGGGGAGCGAACGGG